rnacentral:rRNA from 1 species
AUGUACAAGGGACGGUCAAUGGCGGGUGCCUUGCUUCGAGGCAGUGACGUCAGUGCCUUGGGGAUGACUUCGCCGACAACGGGAACCUCCCUCUCACUGAGCCCGUCACUGAGAUGUUGCAGCAAUGGGCCUACCCCUACGGCUCUGCAUAUGCCGACACUUAUGGGUUUCCGCGACCAAAUACUCCGUCCGGCCGCUUCUCCAACUAUAAAAUCCAGUCUAAUUUCAUCGGUCAACACUCAGCACUCAACACUAUGUUAUAAGUACUCCCUCUGUCCCAAAAUGCAUAGUGUCAAAAAUGAUCUUACAUUUUGGGACGGAGGGAGUAUUAUGUUAAAGAAAAAUUGUAAUCUUUGCUGCAUAAUAGUUAUCCUACUCACUAUUUUAUUAAUAUCCUACUCAUUAUUUUGCAGAAGCAUGCUUCUACAUCACGCACUAGAUACAAGACGGUGUGACCAAAUAUUAAUAACGACUUGUAUAGACAUUUACACAGCGCAAGGAUCAUUAUCCCAGCCUUCGAAUCAUUUGAUAAACAUACCUCAUUUUAUUCAUGCGAAGCUCAGGAUAUUGAGGCCAAAAACAACAUGCCAACAAAACCGGCUAAUAUGGCUAAAUCACGCCAUGAUUACACAACAACAUGCUAAUCUUGCAAUUCAUUACUAA